rnacentral:rRNA from 1 species
AGUGAACGCUGGCGGUAGGCCUAACACAUGCAAGUCGAACGGCAGCACAGUAAGAGCUUGCUCUUACGGGUGGCGAGUGGCGGACGGGUGAGGAAUACAUCGGAAUCUACUUUUUCGUGGGGGAUAACGUAGGGAAACUUACGCUAAUACCGCAUACGACCUACGGGUGAAAGCAGGGGAUCUUCGGACCUUGCGCGAUUGAAUGAGCCGAUGUCGGAUUAGCUAGUUGGCGGGGUAAAGGCCCACCAAGGCGACGAUCCGUAGCUGGUCUGAGAGGAUGAUCAGCCACACCGGAACUGAAACACGGUCCAGACCCCUACGGGAGGCAGCGGUGGGGAAUAUUAGACAAUGGGCGGAAGCCUGAUCCAACCCUACCGCGUGGGUGAAGGAAGCCUUCGGGUUGUAAAGCCCUUUUGUUGGGAAAGAAAAGCAGCAGGUUAAAACCCCGCUGUUCUGACGGUACCCAAAGAAUAAGCACCGGCUAACUUCGUG